UUGCAUUUUGAUUUUAGGGGGGUGGAGUACAUACCGGCCGGAACCGCAGUAACGUCAUUACGAUACUAACGUUAGUUGCUCAGCCAAACUCAAUUCUUUGGACCUGAGCCCUAGGACCAUGCCCCAGGACUACCUGACAUGAUGACUCCUUGCUGUCCCCAGUCCACCUGGCCAUGCUGCUGCUCCAGUUUCAACUGGCCUGGGCCCUAGGACCAUGUCCCAGGACUACCUGACAUGAUGACUCCUUGCUGUCCCCAGUCCACCUGGCCAUGCUGCUGCUCCAGUUUCAACUGUUCUGCCUUACUAUUAUUCAACCAUGCUGGUCAUUUAUGAACAUUUGAACAUCUUGGCCACGUUCUGUUAUAAUCUCCACCCGGCACAGCCAGAAGAGGACUGGCCACCCCACAUAUGCUCUCUCUAAUUCUCUCUUUCUUUCUCUCUCUCUGAGGACCUGAGCCCUAGGACCGUGCCCCAGGACUACCUGACAUGAUGACUCCUUGCUGUCCCCAGUCCACCUGACUGUGCUGCUGCUCCAGUUUCAACUGUUCUGCCUUAUUAUUAUUCGACCAUGCUGGUCAUUUAUGAACAUUUGAACAUCUUGGUCAUGUUCUGUUAUAAUCUCUACCCGGCACAGCCAGAAGAGGACUGGCCACCCCACAUAGCCUGGUUCCUCUCUAGGUUUCUUCCUAGGUUUUGGCCUUUCUAGGGAGUUUUUCCUAGCCACCGUGCUUUUACACCUGCAUUGUUUGCUGUUUGGGGUUUUAGGCUGGGUUUCUGUACAGCACUUUGAGAUAUCAGCUGAUGUACGAAGGGCUAUAUAAAUAAAUUUGAUUUGAUUUGAUUUGAUAUCCAUCCUGCCCUGCCCUGCCUCUAGACCCAAACUGUUAUAGACAAAUAUCCAUCCUGCCCUGCAUUUCUCGAAAGCCAAGUUAAUAAAUAGAUCACUGACCAUUUUGAAUCCCACCGUACCAUCUCCCCUGUGCAAUCCGGUUUCCGAGCUGGUUCCCUGAUACACCUCUACGCAGACGACACCAUUCUGUAUACAUCUGGCCCUUCAUUGGACACUGUGUUACCAAACCUCCAAACGAGCUUCAAUGGCGUACAACACUCCUUCAGUCGCCUCCAACUGCUCUUAAAUGCUAGUAAGACUAAAUGCAUGCUUUUCAACCGUUUGCUGCCCACACCCGCCCGCCCGACUAGCAACAUUACUCUGGACGGUUCUGACUUAGAAUAUGUGGACAACUACAAAAACCUAGGUGUUUGGCUAGACUGUAAACUCUCCUUCCAGACUCAGUAAACAUCUCCAAUCCAAAAUUAAAUCUAGAAUCGUCUUCCUAUUUCGCAGCAAAGCCUCCUUCACUCAAGCCGCCAUGCAUACCCUCGUAAAACGGACUAUCCUACCGAUCCUCGACUUCGGCGAUGUCAUUUACAAAAUAGCCUCCAACACUCUACUCAACAAACUGGAUGCAGUCUAUCACAGUGCCAUCCAUUUUGUCACAAAAGCCCCAUAUACCACCCACCACUGCUCUCGUCUGCUGGCCAUCGCUACAUAUUUGUCGCCAGACCCACUGGCUCCAGGUCAUCUAUAAGUCUUUGCUAGGUAAAGCUCCGCCUUAACUCAGGUCACUGGUCACGAUAACAACACCCACCCAUAGCACGCGCUCCAGCACGCGCUUCAAAGCCAACACCUGCUGCGGAUGACUGGAACGAAUUGCAAAAAUCGCUGAAGCUGGAGACUUAUUUCCCUCACUAACUUUAAACAUCAGCUAUCUGGGCAGCUAACCGAUCACUGCAGCUGUACAUAGCCCAUCUGUAAAUAUUAAAAUUUUUACCUUUAUUUUACUUGGCAAGAUCAGUUAAGAACAAAUUCUUAUUUUCAAUGACGGCCUAGGAACAGUGGGUUAACUGCCUGUUCAGGGGCAGAACGACAGAUUUGUACCUUGUCAGCUCGGGGGUUUGAACUUGCAACCUUCCGGUUACUAGUCCAACGCUCUAACCACUAGGCUACCCUGCUGCCCAUCCAUUCUACCUACCUCAUCCCCAUAUUGUUUUUAUUUACUUUUCUGCUCUUUUGCACACCAGUAUUUCUACUUGCACAUCUAUCACUCGUGUUGAUUUGCUAAAUUGUAAUUACUUCGCUACUAUGGCCUAUAUAUUGCCUUACCUCCUCACACCAUUUGAACACUGUGUAUAGACUUUCUUUUCUUCUAUUGUGUUAUUGACUGUACACUUGUUUAUCCCAUGUGUAACUCUGUGUUUGUGUCGCACUGCUUUGCUUUAUCUUUGCCAGGUCGGAGUUGUAAAUGAGAACUUGUUCUCAACUAGCCUACCUGGUUAAAUAAAAUAAUACAAAUAAAUAUUUUUUGAAGCUGCAAAUAGUGUUUUUAUUUUUUAUUAAAUAACAUUUACACAAUAAAUCCUACAUUGUACAUAAUCACUAUAGUAGUAGGUUACUUGCCUGCAUCUCUGUAUGGACAAUAUUUAACCUCAGACUAUUGUUGAAGAUGGACUUCAAUACAUCACAAUGUUCACAUUUAAUUUUUUAACUAAACAGACAGAAAUGUCUGAGAAAAUUACAAUGAAUGGCAAAACAUUUUCGGAAAUUCACAAAAAGAUAUAGGUACGAAAAAGGGAAAACAUCGUUAAUUUGCUUACUAUACAGUGGACGGGCUUACUGUGCCCGGAUGUCAGUAAAAGACCGCUACAAAAAUGAAUUUGUAAAAGCUGAUAAAAAAAAAACUGUACAAUUCCAUAAGGACACACCGGGUAUUUAUUUUUUAUAGAUAAAAUAUUUUAUUUGGAUACAGGAGCAUUCCCUGAGAACCUUUGUUAAAACAAAAAUGUACAAACAUGUAAAAAAAAACGUUCAUUGGCCAUGUCAUGUAUCUAUACCCUAGAGGGCGCUCUAAUAACCUUUAGCAUCUUGCGCCAUCCAUCAUUACCCAACUGUUAACCUAACGUAGCAGGUUUAAAAUAAACGCCUGAAACUAGAUCCCAUAAAUAUUGUUUAUAAAAUUAAAAAAAUAACUGUCUGGGGAGGUUCUCUUCUGUACUGUUCAAUCAAUCCAGUAAAUGUGGAGGAGUUAAGAUGGCUGGUCACCUUGUUCAUGUCCAAAAGCUGAAGUCAAGUCACAG